UAAAUGUGACCUGUGUGAGAAGACUUUUGAACUGAAAAAAAGCAGAGCGACGCAGAUGGAUCCAGUUCUCAACCCUGUCAUCGCUGUGGUGGUGGGAAAGACUUUUGUUGUGACCUUUGUGGAAAAUCUUUCGGUCAUGCAAAGAGCCUAAAAAUACAUCAACGUAGACACACUGGAGAGAAACUGAAAUACUACAAAGAAUGUGGGAGAAGCUUCACCAGAUCACGUGAGUUAAAACACCAUGAAGUCAUUCACAGUGGGGUUAAAAAGCACCUCUGUGAUCAGUGUGGGUCAUCGUUCACCACUGCAGGUGAGCUUAAAACACACAAACGAGUCCACACAGGAGAGAAACCAUACAAGUGCAGACACUGUGACAAAAGCUUCUCACAGUCAAGUAGUCGUAACCAUCAUGAACAUACCCACGUGGAAGGAAACUACAGCUGUGACCGGUGUGACAAGACUUUCAGGAAUCUCAGUUCAUACUCUGAACACAAACGAUCCCACGCUGCAGAUAAACUGUUUCACUGCUACAAAUGUGCAAAAACCUUCACUUCACUAUCUGCUCUGUGCAAACAUCCGCAUGAUCACGCGGGGCGGAAAUCAUUCCCAUCUCCGGAUCACGGUGAAUCUGGUGUCAGGGUCAGAAUUAAAACUGUUGAGAUCAGGCUCCACAGAGUUCAGCUGGAAUCUCAUGUAAAGAACUGAUGAGGCUGCUGUAAAUAUAAAUGUUCCUGCAGUUACAUCUUAAGCUUUCUAAACUCUUCUACUUUAGUGUUCUUAUCGAGUGGUUAGCUUUGUUUUGUUGGAAGAAGCAAUCUGUUGUUAUGUAAUCAAGUUGUUAUUGAAUGUAUUUUGAUCCAUGUGUUCUGUAGGUGUUCUUUGUUCAGGCUGUCUGUGUUAUGAAACGUUGCAACGGUUAAAUAAAAAAUCCAAAUGUUCAAUAAAGAAAUGGUUUAAUGACA